rnacentral:rRNA from 1 species
AACGAACGCUGGCGGCAGGCUUAACACAUGCAAGUCGAACGCCCCGCAAGGGGAGUGGCAGCCGGGUGAGUACCGCGUGGGAAUCUACCCAUCCCUACGGAAUAACGCAUGGAAACGUGUGCUAAUACCGUAUACGCCCUACGGGGGAAAGAUUUAUCGGGGAUGGAUGAGCCCGCGUUGGAUUAGCUAGUUGGUGGGGUAAAGGCCUACCAAGGCGACGAUCCAUAGCUGGUCUGAGAGGAUGAUCAGCCACAUUGGGACUGAGACACGGCCCAAACUCCUACGGGAGGCAGCAGUGGGGAAUAUUGGACAAUGGGCGCAAGCCUGAUCCAGCCAUGCCGCGUGAGUGAUGAAGGCCUUAGGGUUGUAAAGCUCUUUCACCGGAGAAGAUAAUGACGGUAUCCGGAGAAGAAGCCCCGGCUAACUUCGUG